rnacentral:rRNA from 1 species
UUAACUCUGGAACUGCCAUCAAAACUUUUCAGCUAGAGUAUGAUAGAGGAAAGCAGAAUUUCUAGUGUAGAGGUGAAAUUCGUAGAUAUUAGAAAGAAUACCAAUUGCGAAGGCAGCUUUCUGGAUCAUUACUGACACUGAGGAACGAAAGCAUGGGUAGCGAAGAGGAUUAGAUACCCUCGUAGUCCAUGCCGUAAACGAUGUGUGUUAGACGUUGGAAAUUUAUUUUCAGUGUCGCAGGGAAACCGAUAAACACACCGCCUGGGGAGUACGACCGCAAGGUUAAAACUCAAAUGAAUUGACGGGGACCCGCACAAGUAGUGGAGCAUGUGGUUUAAUUCGAAGAUACGCGCAGAACCUUACCAACACUUGACAUGUUCGUCGCGACUCUAAGAGAUUAGAGUUUUCGGUUCGGCUGGACGAAACACAGGUGCUGCAUGGCUGUCGUCAGCUCGUGUCGUGAGAUGUUGGGUUAAGUCCCGCAACGAGCGCAACCCUCACUUUUAGUUGCCAUCAUUAAGUUGGGCACUCUGAAAGAACUGCCAGUGAUAAGCUGGAGGAAGGUGGGGAUGACGUCAAGUCCUCAUGGCCCUUACGUGUUGGGCUACACACGUGCUACAAUGGCAUCUACAAUAGGAAGCAAAACGGCAACGUUAAGCAAAUCCCGAAAAGAUGCCUCAGUUCGGAUUGCACUCUGCAACUCGAGUGCAUGAAGCUGGAAUUACUAGUAAUCGUGGAUCAGCGUGCCACGGUGAAUGCGUUCCCGGGUCUUGUACACACCGCCCGUCACACCAUGGGAGUUGGUUCUACCUUAAGGCAAGGUUUUAAACCCUUGACCACGGUAUAGUCAGCGACUGGGGUGAAGUCGUAACAAGGUAACC